CUGAUCUCAAAUCAGGU
rnacentral:rRNA from 1 species